rnacentral:lncRNA from 1 species
GCCGCCCUCUGCCUUUCGUAACUCGGCGCGGGGUCUGGGUUUGCAGGGCUUUGAAAACGAGCCCCCGGCGCCUUGCGCCCUCUCUUCCGGCGCUCUGGCCGCAGAUUCGGGUAGCGCCGGCCACCGUGGACCAUUUUUCUUUUUUUCCUGCUUCGCGGCGUUCCAGGAUUUUCUCUUCCGGGUCGCUCUGAGGCACGGUCAGGGGUGCCAGCAUUCCUGGUUUGGCAUUGAACCCUCGGACUCUGCAAACACCUUUGAGGGGAAGCCCCCUUUUGCGCUUGCGCCGCGCCUCCCGCGGCCGGGAGCUAAGUCGGGCUGGCAGGGCCAGGUGGCACAUAAGGGGGGCUUAAAAGAAGACUUCUCCCAGAGACCAGUGCGGCUGCUGAUUAUGUUUAUCCCAACAUCACCAAAAGAGGAAGGAGACAAAGCUCUGCCUCUGGGUUUCUAUUUGGCGUCAUCCGUGUGCAGAGGCGGCUGAGAUUUCGGCAACACAACAGCCUGGCCUUGACUGCAGCUCCAUCCCCAGCUCGAAUGGAGCUCUUACCCACCCCGACCCCAGCUACAGCAUCCGGUGGAUGGGAGGGGCUGGAAUCAUGCAAACUUGUGCAAGAAAACCAUCAUACAUCACAGCGCGUGUCCUCAUCUUUCAACAAACAUGUAGUAAGUAGUUUCUCAAUAAGCACCUUUCGUUUUCUGCAUUUAUGAAGCUCUGCACAACUCUGUGUGGGUGCUGGCAAUGCAGAAAUGAAUAUGGUAAGAGUUCCUGCUCUGAAGUGGCUUGUGUGAGUGAGACGAUAGACAGGACAAAAUGGAUUCUCACCCUGUAGGAUCACAGAUGCCAGAAUACAAGUGCAUGCAGAGGCCAGCUCAGCACUGGGUAUGCUAAAUCACGCUUUCUUUUCUUUUCUUCAAUGUCAGAACAUUCUCAGCUAUUUUUUAAAGUGAAUUUCUCUUCUCAGUUGCUGCCAUGCUCUCCUUCUGGAGAGUCUAUUGAAUCUUCUCAUUCCAUCCUCCAUGCUUAUUAACUCAUUUAUUUAUCUGUCCACACUUCACCCUUUGUGAUGGCCCCAUUUGCCUCUCCAGGUACUUCUAAGCUAUCCUUGCUUUCUCUAUCCACUUACUGUGUGAAGUUAAUGGCUUUAAACUAGACCACAGGAUCUCUCCUUCUAGACACCAAACCAAUGGAAUAAACAGGAAAACCCAUAAAAACAUACUAUUUUAUCUCAGCCUCAAGCCAGAGUUUGGCCUGGAAGUGAUUAGAGAACUUUUGUGUGUGUGUGUGUGUGUGUGUGUGUGUGUUUGCUAUUUCUUGAACCACUCCUGCGGCAUAUGGAGGUUCCCAGGCUAGGGGUCUAAUUGGAGCUGUAGUCUCCCGCCUACACCAGAGCCACAUCAACUCGGGAUCCGAGCCGCAUCUGCAACCUACACCACAGCUCGCGGCAACGCUGGAUCGUUAACCCACUGAGCAAGGGCAGGGGCCGAACCCGCAACCCCAUGGUUCCUAGUCUGAUUCAUUAACCACUGCCCCAUGACGGGAACUCCCUGAUUAGAGAACUUUUGAGGGUAUGAGUGAACAGAGGAAGGAGAGUUGUUUUUGUCCUGUGCAGUGCCAGCAGCCAGUGCUUACCCAGCUUCGAAAUGGGUUCUUGUGACUUUGCCUUCAAGGAAUACAAUCUUAGUGGGGCCAAGAUUUAGUCCUAGCUUCAGCGUCCGAAACAGUGAUUCCUCAAAUAAAGCCCUGGAUUGGUCAGAGAGAAGGGACCUGUUUUGAGCCUGGUGAGAGCCUAAGAAGUCAAAUGAGUUACUCUAAUAGGAAGAUAGCAAAAAGCAGCAGCAGGAAAAGUCUGGAAUGACUUACCAAGAGCUUGUCCCCACGAAUGGCUUGAUCAACAUUUUAUUAACAGAUAAACACAUCAACCUGUUUUGCCACUGAAACUCAAGAGCUCAGAACUGUCAACUACUGUGAAAUCUUCUACAGUCAAGAAUGGGACUCUGCUUUACUCUCUGAUUUUAAGUUAAGAACCACAUGCUUGGAAGCUAAGUAUGAUCACCUCACAGCUAGGGAAAACUCAGAACUUCAUGCUCAUUUCUUCUUUGAUUCUUUUUUCUUUCUUUUUUCUUUAUUUUAUUUAUUUAUUUAUUUUUUGGUCUUUUUGCCAUUUCUAGGGCCGCUCCCGUGGCAUACAGAGGUUCCCAGGCUAGGGGUCUCGAAUUGGAGCUGUAGCCACCGGCCUAUGCCAGAGCCAUGCAACGCAGGAUCCAGAGCCACGUCUGCAACCUACACCACAGCUCAUGGCAACGCCAGAUCCUUAACCCACUGAGCAAGGCCAGGGAUCAAACCUGCAACCUUAUGGUUCCUAAUCAGAUUCAUUAACCAUUGAGCCACGACGGGAAGUCCUGAUCCUUUUUUCUUAUAUUGACUGUCCUUCUGGAAUUAUUUUCCUUUCUCUGAAGUACUCCCUUAUAAUUUCCUUUAGGACAAGAUUUUUGACAGUAGACUCUCGGUUAUUGUUUAUUUCUAAAUGAUUUUACUACUUCAUGAAGGUGGUUUUUCUGGUUAAAAAAGUUUACAUUGACAAUUACUUUAUCUUCACACCUUGAAGAUAUUAUUCCACUGCCUUCUGGAUUCUGUUUUUGAGGUGGAAAAAUCUGCUGUCAUUUUUAUUGUCAUUCCUUGUUAGGUGAUCCAUCCUUUCUUUCUGGCUGCUUUAUCAACCUUACCUUUGUAUUUGUUGUUUUUCAACUUUAUUAUAAUGUCUAGCAUGAAUUUGUUUUUCUUUUUCCUACUCGGAAUAUCUUGGACUUCCUAGAUCUGUAGAAUUCAUAUUAUCUAUUAGCUAUAAUACAUUCCAAGACAUAAUAUUUUAAAACAAUGUCUAUCCUUAUUUUUUCAAUUCUAUCUUUGUGGGAAACUGAUAAAUGCAUGAUAAACCUAUCAUGUAUGGUCCAUAUCUUGUAACCUCUCUUUUAUAUUUCUCAUCUUUCUAUGUAAUGUGGCAAUUUUUUUGCAUAUAUCUUAUGUUUCAUUGAUUGUUUUUUCAGUUAUACCUAAUCUGGUUGUGUAACUCUACCCUUUGAUGUAAAAAAAAAUCAAGUUCUCUUUAUGCUGUGAUCUGAAUGUUUGUGCCCCCCUAAAACUCAUAUAUUGAAACCCUGAGUCCAAAAGAUGAUGGUAUGAGGAGGUGAGGGCUUUGGAAGGUGCUUGAGUCAUGAGGGUGAAGCCCUCAGAAAUGGGAUUAGCACUUUAUCAAAGAAGCUCCAGAGAGAUCCCUACUCCCUUUUGCCACUGGAGGAUAUGACAAGUCUGUGAUCUGGAAAUGGGUGCUCACCCAGUCAUGCUGGAACCCUAAUUUUGAAUUUCCCGCCUCCAGAACCAUGAGCAACAAAUUUCUGCUGUUUAUAAGCCAUUCAUUCUGUGAUAUUUUGUUGUCACAGCCUUAAUGGGCUAAGGCAGCUUGUUAACUUGUUUGUUUUCAAUCUGAACAGAUAAUACAUUCACAUGAAUACAAGUUCAAAAUGUACCAAACAUUAUCCAGGGAACUCUCUUCCAUGUUCCCCUACUCCCUUCCCAGCCCGCUGCCCUCCACUGCAGUCCUCUGAAUUGUCAUUUCCAAUGACUGACUCUUGGCCCACAUGUUGCUGCUUGAACCUCAGGGCCAUUCAGUGGGCCAGUCACACCUCCUGUCUCUAGGGCACCACCCUCCUCUGUGCUCCCGGGCACUCCCCAAUCCUCCCCAGCCUCCCUUGCUAGGUUCUUCUUUCAUCACUAAUGUUAGUAUUGAAGAAGACCGGGGCUCACUCCUUGACCUUAUUCUCUUUUCUAUCUACACUAUCUCAUCUCUUACUGCUGGUUAAUCUCAUCAAGUCCAUAGAUUUAGAUGCCGUCUAUAUAUUCACAAUAGUCAAGUUGGUAUUUCCUGCCUAAAUUCUUCAUCCAAACUUGAGACUUCACCUGCUUGACACUUCCACUUGGAUAUCUAGUAGACAUCUCAAAACGAACAGGUCGAGGCGUUUCCUUUAUAGCUCAGUGGUAACAAACCUGACCAGGAUCCAUGCAGACAGGGUUUCCAUGAUCUCUGGCCUCGUUCAGUGGGUUAAGGAUCCAGCAUUGCCAUGAGCUGUGGUGAAGGUCCCAGACGCAGCUCAGAUCUGGUGUGGCUGUGGCUGUGGUGUAGGCUGGCAGCUACAGCUCCGAUUAGACCCCUAGCCUGGGAACUUCCAUAUACCACAAGUGCAACCCUAAAAAAACAAAAUAAAAUAAACAAACAAAAAAACCUAACAGGUCAAAAACAAGACUGUCGAUUUUCUCUCUCACAAAUCUGAUCUAAUAUUCUUCUCUAUUUUAGGGGAAGGAAAUUGUAUCCUUCCUGAUUCCCUGGCUUUAAGACCCACAUGCUGCUGAAAUCUUGGAACUCUUCACCUUUGACAUUUUUGGCAGUCUGUUUGGCCUAGAAUGAUAUCAUUUUAUUUUAACUUUAUUUUUCUGACUACUUAUGAUUUUGAGCCCAUGUAUGAGCUGUCUUUGGUUCUCAUAUGUGUAUUGCCUAAUCAUUUCCUUAGCCCAUUUAUUUGUCUCUUGGGGUAUUCCUAUUUUUGUCCUGUACCAUUUUGUGUUAUGAUGUAGAGCUCAGCGCCUGAUCUCAGGGUGCACUAUUUUAAGUUUCUAAAGGACAAGAUUGUGGAAUUUACUAUGAAAACCAACAUUAAUUAUUUGGGGGAACAGAAAGGCAUCUUCAUUGUUUCCACUUACAUUAAAUCUUUAGUGGCCCAACUUCCCAAUUAUCCAAGACCAUCUGAGCCGUGUGCCAAAGGAGGUGCCUAUUUCCCACUUCUUAGCAUUUUUCUUAGAAUGUGAGUCAAGCAGACGGCUUUCAGACGUCCUGCUGACUGGGAUUCUGGCUCGUUCUCAUGUCCCAUUUCCUGCUCUUCUCCUGUUCUGAUUUCUAAGCAGGUGUCAACCCCAAAUCAGAAUAAUUAUAUGGAUCACAGAACUAAUGUCCUCAAUUCUGCUUUGUGACACUUGAAAUGGAAUAUUCUCGACUAAUAGUUUGAUGAGAAAAACAUCUGUUGGGUUUACAUUCCUACUGAUGCUGAAUGACUUGAAAACUUCUCUUGCAGCUUGUUGUCUGGAUUCUUAGGGGAUUAUCUUGGGAAUCACCUUCUAGCAUAGAUCCUUGCGCUCCACCUGGUAUAUGCUCAGAGGCAGUGUUUGCUGUCUCUCAACACAUAGUAUCUAAAUGCUGCCAAACCUCAGGACUCAAGAAAACAUCUGGAGGGCUUGGUGGGUUCUUAAGCAGUCAAUCAGAUGAGUUAAGGUAUUACAUUGAGAUGGCCCCAGUGAUUGAGUGCUGACUUAUUCGCAGGUGCAGGGGUGGAGUGGUGUAGAAAAACUAAAAUUAAGAAGAAGCUUGAUGGAGGAUAGUGUGAGAAAAAGAAUGGGUACAUGUAUGUGUGUGACUGGGUCACUUUGCUGUAUAGUAGAAAUUGACAGAACACUGUUAACUAACUAUAAUGGAAAAAA